rnacentral:lncRNA from 1 species
GUGCCCCCGCCGGCGCCCGCGGCAGGAGCGGAGGAGCCGCGACAGGCGCUGCCCUGCGCCGCGAGUGAACGGCUGCGAGGCUGCUGGGAGGGUGAAUGAAGCCAGGAGGAGGGGAAGGAGGAGGAGGUGGCGGCGGCGGAGGAGGAGGCGCUGCGGGGAUUGGGAUGCGCCCUGGAGCCCCGCUGCUCGUUCACUCUGGGCCGGGCCGGAGACUCUGCCACUCCCGCGGCCGCCGCCGCCGCCUCCUACGUGGUUCCAGCGCUGCGCGCAGGCCGGUCCCGCAGGGGGCAGGGACGGGGCCGGCCGGGCGGAGCGAGAGGAGCAUCGUGCAACAAAUCGCCAGGGUGGUCCAUUCAAGCUGCAGAUCUGUUUGUCGUCCUUGUACAACAGUCUCCUCCUCCACUGCCACUACAGGGAAGUGCAUCACAUGUCAGGUCACAGAACAGAAACUGUUGGUGGACAUCUCUUCUUGCCCCAAGAUCUUCGUUGGAAGUCCUCGGGACUUGGUGUCUUUGCCGUUCAAAGUAUUUAUGAACUCACCAGGAGGCCUAAUGUGUCACCAUUUUAUUCUGGGCCACCCUAAAGGAUGACACCCAGCUUCAGAGACCUCUUGGACGUCAUCCCUGAGCACCAGUGUGUUAGCUCUCCCAUUGUCUGAAGUCUCUUUCCAACUGGUUUUGAGCUGGAGCCGGCUUAGUCAUUAAUGGCCAGCAUGAUGUUGAAUGUUCUGCUUCAUCAGCUUGCAGCUGUACACCUUUUGUCAUUUGCAGAGCAGCAACUCCCUCUCGAGCUCUUGGGGAGUCUUUACACAAAUGCGCUAGAAAAAAGGCACCAGUCCAUUCUUUCCAGCUUGGCGUUUGCCCACAGGCAUAGUCCUGGGAUGACCUGGAGCAGAGGCAGUGGAGGAUAAAUUCAUCUUGCACAGACUUGUUUGUGCUAGUUCUAGCCUGUCUCUCACCACAGAUCUAGCUUUUAAAUACUCAAGUGAUUGGUUUUGUGUAGGAAUGUGUGGAUUGUUGGAUUGGAAGAAUUUUCUCUCCGGAUUUCUAGUGUUUACAUAAGCAGAUAUAAAAAAAUGUUCUAUCACUGAUUUAAAUAGCAGGGCUUAUUUUAAAAACUUAUGGGUGCUUAAAGGUGGUACGGAAUAAAAAUGUCUGUUUUUUUUCUUUUUCUUUAUUACAAGUUGUAACACAACCCAACGGUAUAUAUUAAUGUUUUGUCAGGAAAGGGUCAAAAUGGAAAAUUUGCAACAAAGAC